rnacentral:rRNA from 1 species
GAUGAACGCUGGCGGCGUGCCUAAUACAUGCAAGUCGAGCGAAUGGAUUAAGAGCUUGCUCUUAUGAAGUUAGCGGCGGACGGGUGAGUAACACGUGGGUAACCUGCCCAUAAGACUGGGAUAACUCCGGGAAACCGGGGCUAAUACCGGAUAAUAUUUUGAACUGCAUGGUUCAAAAUUGAAAGGCGGCUUCGGCUGUCACUUAUGGAUGGACCCGCGUCGCAUUAGCUAGUUGGUGAGGUAACGGCUCACCAAGGCAACGAUGCGUAGCCGAGCUGGGAGGGUGAUCGGCCACACUGGGACUGAGACACGGCACAGACUCCGACGGGAGGCAGCAGUAGGGAAUCUUCCGCAAUGGACGAAAGUCUGACGGAGCAACGCCGCGUGAGUGAUGAAGGCUUUCGGGUCGUAAAACUCUGUUGUUAGGGAAGAACAAGUGCUAGUUGAAUAAGCUGGCACCUUGACGGUACCUAACCAGAAAGCCACGGCUAACUACGUGCCAGCCGCCGCCGUAA